rnacentral:rRNA from 1 species
CCUACGGGGAGCAGCAGUGAGGAAUAUUGGUCAAUGGACGAGAGUCUGAACCAGCCAAGUAGCGUGAAGGAUGACUGCCCUAUGGGUUGUAAACUUCUUUUAUAUGGGAAUAAAAUGUUCCACGUGUGGGAUUUUGUAUGUACCAUAUGAAUAAGGAUCGGCUAACUCCGUGCCAGCAGCCGCGGUAAUACGGAGGAUCCGAGCGUUAUCCGGAUUUAUUGGGUUUAAAGGGAGCGUAGGUGGAUUGUUAAGUGAGUUGUGAAAGUUUGCGGCUCAACCGUAAAAUUGCAGUUGAAACUGGCAGUCUUGAGUACAGUAGAGGUGGGCGGAAUUCGUGGUGUAGCGGUGAAAUGCUUAGAUAUCACGAAGAACUCCGAUUGCGAAGGCAGUUCACUGGACUGCAACUGACACUGAGGCUCGAAAGUGUGGGUAUCAAACAGGAUUAGAUACCCUAGUAGUC